UUGGAAAUGGAUUCGUUCGACGAAACGAAACUGCCACUACGGCGGCGGCGGCAAUGGAUGGACCGGGGCUUCGUCCGCAGCUCGACAGUUACCUGACAACCACAUAGGAGUAUGAAGAAAACAAGAAAAACCCUGCAGUUCUGCAUUCGCCAUCAGCAUCGUCGUCGUCGUCAUCUGUGGGUGGUAGUACUGGAUGAUGAGAUAAACAUGGAGCUGGCAUAGUUGGAUUGGACAGAGAGAAACGUGCAGGAAACAAUUCAAGAUCACAAGCCAUUGGAUGAGGAGAGAUCCAAGGAGUUGAGCAGAGCUACCGUAUGCAUGCAUCACGUGGAGGGAAAACGAUGAGGCCGCAAAUCUCUAUCAAUACACACUCAGAUGUGUAAUAUUUAUGAUCACUAUUUAUUCCGGAAGCGAAGUCAUUCACCUACAACUACCCAAGCAAUUUUGGUUUUUCAUUUUCGUCAAAAUGCUGGCAAGUUUAUCCUACAAAACCACUUGCCUCCUAUACUAAUCUAAUUAUCUAUACUCUUAUAAAAAAGGAGUAGAAUCUGCCAUCACCACCUAUGCUCGCUACAGUUUUACAAUUUAG